UGGAUGGGGAUGCGUCUGAUUAGCUUGUUGGCGGGGCAACGGCCCACCAAGGCGACGAUCAGUAGGGGUUCUGAGAGGAAGGCCCCCCACAUUGGAACUGAGACACGGUCCAAACUCCUACGGGAGGCAGCAGUGAGGAAUAUUGGUCAAUGGGCGAGAGCCUGAACCAGCCAAGUAGCGUGCAGGAUGACGGCCCUAUGGGUUGUAAACUGCUUUUAUGCGGGGAUAAAGCGGGUCUACGUGUGGCCCUUUGCAGGUACCGCAUGAAUAAGGACCGGCUAAUUCCGUGCCAGCAGCCGCGGUAAUACGGAAGGUCCGGGCGUUAUCCGGAUUUAUUGGGUUUAAAGGGAGCGCAGGCCGGGUAUUAAGCGUGUUGUGAAAUGUAGGCGCCCAACGUCUGCACCGCAGCGCGAACUGGUGCCCUUGAGUACGCACGACGUUGGCGGAAUUCGCCGUGUAGCGGUGAAAUGCUUAGAUAUGGCGAAGAACUCCGAUUGCGAAGGCAGCUGACGGGAGCGCUACUGACGCUCAUGCUCGAAAGCGCGGGUAUCGAACAGGAUUAGAUACCCUGGUAGUCCGCGCGGUAAACGAUGGAUGCCCGC
rnacentral:rRNA from 1 species